GGUCCCAGUUCGGAUUGUAGGCUGCAACUCGCCUACAUGAAGUCGGAGUUGCUAGUAAUCGCGGAUCAGAAUGCCGCGGUGAAUGCGUUCCCGGGCCUUGUACACACCGCCCGUCACACCAUGGAAGUUGGGGGCGCCCGAAGUUGCCUAAGAAAUAAGGUACCUAAGGCGAAACCAAUGACUGGGGUGAAGUCGUAACAAGGUAAC
rnacentral:rRNA from 1 species